GCCUGGGUGGCUCAGUCGGUUAAGCGUCUGACUUCGGCUCAGGUCAUGAUCUCACGGUCCGUGAGUUCGAGCCCCACGUCGGGCU
rnacentral:tRNA from 1 species